UUGUGCAGUCAUCAGGAUAUUUGUGUUGGGACCUGUACCAUUUUAGUUCUGUCUUUCUUCAAUAAAGCAGUGGUGUGUCUAUAUUGAACUGAAACUUGAAUUUAAUGUCUGGAACAUGCUAGAUUGGGCUCUUAGUCAAUUAAGUGAUGCAGAGAAGCUGUAUAAACAACUUGCGCAUUUAAAAUCAAGACCUAGGCAAAAAUUUCAACGUAAUGGUUUCCUGGGACUUUUUGGACGAAAGGUUGAUGUUGUAGAUCACACUGAGAAGAGGUUACAAGAUUUGGAAGAGAAUGUUAGAAUGCAACAAUCAGAUGUUUCAUUGAUAGGAGAGGUCUUAAUACGCCCGAUGGGUGCUGAUGAACAUAUUUAUUCCAAUUAUAUGGACUCAAAGCAGUGGUUACAAGAUACGGAUGUGCUCGAGAUGAUUCUGAAUAAGUUCAGCUCCUCACCAUAGUUGUAAUGGGGAGGUCUCCUUGUUGUGAAGAACAUGGUAUGAAGAAGGGUCCAUGGACCCCAGAAGAAGAUCUAAGGCUUGUGGACUACAUUGAGAAGCAUGGUCAUGGAAGUUGGAGAGGACUCCCAAAGCUCGCGGACCUGAAUAGGUGUGGAAAAUUCUCAAGUGAAGAAGAGCAGAUCAUUGUCAACCUUCAUUCAGUUCUUGGAAAUAAGUUUUAGGCAUGGAUGAAUGGGAGCUAUAGAUCGAUGGAUUUUAUUUUAUUUUAUUUUGAAGCUAUUCAAUUUAUUAUUGUAAAUAUUAUUCGCGGCAGCUCGAUGCAUGUGAAAGGGCCACAUAGGCAUGUAUUUUUUUAUAGGAAAACAAUCACUAGGCAUAAUCAACUUCCUCAGAGGAAUGUGAAAUCAAGUGGGCCUUGACCAAAAGUCAGGUAGGCUUUGACCAAAAGGUUCAAUGAUAAGGUCCAUCAUUUUAUGAGUUGGAGAGGCAGAACUCAUAAAAUGGGACUCACUGUGAGUCAGGCAUCUAUUUUGUGUCA